GGGGAACUACAUCGCCCUGAUCCUCGUGCCAGACGAGGUAUGUAGGCAGGUGGUCGUGCGAGACCACUCCGGGCGCCUUUUUUUCUUUUUUGCGUGUGUUUGUAUGUUUGUUUGUUGUAUGCUAUUGAUUGUUUGGGUUCGGAUGCUGACGUAAGUCCAGGAUUGGCUGUCGGGCUCCAUGUUUGCCCUUUUGAGUGCGUUUUGGUUCGGAUGCCGACGUAAUUCCAUCCAGUGGUUGUCGGGCUCCAUGUUUGCCACCCUUGCUUGUUUGUA